UAGGGAAUAUUGGGCAAUGGAUGCAAGUCUGACCCAGCCAUGCCGCGUGCAGGAAGAAGGUCUCUGGAUUGUAAACUGCUUUUAUCGGGGAAGCGGUACCCGAUGAAUAAGCCACGGUAACUACGUGCCACAGCCGCGGUAAUACGUAGGUGGCAAGCGUUGUCCGGAUUUAUUGGGUUUAAAGGGUGCGUAGGUGGUUUUAUAAGUCAGUGGUGAAAGCUGGUUGCUCAACAAUCAAGUUGCCAUUGAUACUGUUAGACUUGAGAGAAGUGGAGGUUCAUGGAAUGGAUGGUGUAGCGGUGAAAUGCAUAGAUAUCAUCCAGAACGUCGAUUGCGAAGGCAGUGGGCUGUACUUUUUCUGACACUGAGGCACGAAAGCGUGGGGAUCAAACAGGAUUAGAUACCCCAGUAGU
rnacentral:rRNA from 1 species